AUUGAACGCUGGCGGCAUGCUUUACACAUGCAAGUCGAACGGUAACAGGCCUUCGGUUGCUGACGAGUGGCGGACGGGUGAGUAAUUCAUCGGAACGUGCCCAGAGGUGGGGGAUAACGCAACGAAAGCUGUGCUAAUACCGCAUGUGAUCUGAGGAUGAAAGCGAGGGACCGGGCAGCAAUGUUUGGCCUCGCGCCUUUGGAGCGGCCGAUGUCAGAUUAGGUAGUUGGUGGGGUAAAGGCCUACCAAGCCGACGAUCUGUAGCUGGUCUGAGAGGACGACCAGCCACACUGGGACUGAGACACGGCCCAGACUCCUACGGGAGGCAGCAGUGGGGAAUUGUGGACAAUGGGCGCAAGCCUGAUCCAGCAAUGCCGCGUGCGGGAAGAAGGCCUUCGGGUUGGAAACAGCUUUUGUACGGAACGAAAAGGCUCUGGCUAAUACCUGGGGCUGAUGACGGUACCGUAAGAAUAAGCACCGGCUAACUACGUG
rnacentral:rRNA from 1 species